rnacentral:lncRNA from 1 species
AGAUUAAUUGAUUCCUAAGCCUAAGAUUCAACCACCAAACAGAUCGUCUCUAGAGCAAGUGACAAAGGGCUUGAUGAUUGGUACUCGAGACCCAAGUUCGAGUACUAGUUGAUUCAUAUUUCCAGCUAAGUUUAUUUCUAAAUGAAAUAAAACGAAACGGAUAGCGUGCUACCUAUCUCUCUCGAAAAAAAAAAAAAAAAAAGAUUCAACCACCAAAUAUUAUACUUGAAUAUUCUUUGUUUGCUGAUUUCGACACAC